AUUGAACGCUGGCGGCAUGCUUUACACAUGCAAGUCGAACGGCAGCGCGGGCUUCGGCCUGGCGGCGAGUUGCGAACGGGUGAGUAAUGCAUCGGAACGUGCCCAGUAGUGGGGGAUAGCCCGGCGAAAGCCGGAUUAAUACCGCAUACGACCUGAGGGUGAAAGCGGGGGACCGAAAGGCCUCGCGCUAUUGGAGCGGCCGAUGUCGGGUUAGCUAGUUGGUGGGGUAAAGGCUUACCAAGGCGACGAUCCGUAGCUGGUCUGAGAGGACGACCAGCCACACUGGGACUGAGACACGGCCCAGAACCCUACGGGAGGCAGCAGUGGGGAAUUUUGGACAAUGGGGGCAAACCUGAUCCAGCCAUGCCGCGGGCGGGAAGAAGGCCUUCGGGUUGUAAAACGCUUUUGUUCGGGAAGAAAUCCUCUGGGCUAAUACCCCGGGGGGAUGACGGUACCGGAAGAAUAAGCACCGGCUAACUACGUG
rnacentral:rRNA from 1 species